rnacentral:rRNA from 1 species
CGGUAAUUCCAGCUCCAAUAGCGUAUACUAAAGUUGUUGCUGUUAAAAAGCUCGUAGUUGAACUUCUGACAGCGAGCAGGUUUGGCUUUGGCCAGCCUGUUCGUUGUCAUCCGCCUGCAAACCUUGUACGUCCUUCAGUGGUUCGGCAAGGGGAGUAGACAAUUUACUUUGAAAAAAUUAGAGUGUUCAAAGCAGGUAUUAGCCUGAAUACUUUAGCAUGGAAUAAUGGAAUACGACUCUUGUCUAUUUAUGUUGGUUAUUAGACUUGAGUAAUGAUUAAUAGGGACAGUUGAAGGCAUUAGUACUUAAUUGUCAGAGGUGAAAUUCAUGGAUUUAUUAAAGACUAACUAAUGCGAAAGCAUUUGCCAAGGAUGUUUUCAUUAAUCAAGAACGAAAGUUCGAGGAUAGACAGCGAUCAGACACCACUUUAUUUCGAACUAUAAACUAUACCGAUUUGAGAUAGCCAAUUUUAAUCGAAUAAUUGGCUGCAUCACAUGAGAAAUCCAAAUCUUUGGGUUCUGGGGGGAGUAUGGUCGCAAGAUUGAAACUUAAAGG